CUGGGGGCGUGCGGUGGGUACGGGCUGGCUUGAGUGCGGUAGGGGAGGCUGGAACUCCUGGUGUAGCGGUGGAAUGCGCAGACAUCAGGAGGAACACCGGUGGCGAAGGCGGGUCUCUGGGCCGUUACUGACGCUGAGGAGCGAAAGCGUGGGGAGCGAACAGG
rnacentral:rRNA from 1 species